rnacentral:sRNA from 1 species
AUUUAGAUGGGAAGUGGAUGGGUCUGAGGAAUUUGAACAAACAUUGACAAUGAAGGAGAGUGACCUGAGCAAGUAGUAGUGGGGUAAAUGGAAAUAGACAAAAUGGGAAUCAGCAGAGAUAUGGAGGACAGAAUACAAUGAGGAGGCCUUGAUCGUCAGUAGCAGAGAGGGCAAGAGAAGCCUAAUUCCCAAAUUCUUUAGAUGGUUUUCUGAUUUCCAAACUAGUUUCCCUUUUAAAUUUAUUGUGUCAGGUUCAGCUUAUAAGGCCUCAAUACUUUUCAGUCUUAAUUGUAUACUGAAAAUACUUUUUGUUUAUUAAAUACUUUUUACAUUAAUUCAGUGUGCACUUCGUAAGGAUAUUGAUGAUUUGAGUUAGUUUAGUAUUCAACAGCUUCCUCUAUUCCUUUAUAUGAUCUCUGUAUUUAAUGGCUGUGGCAUAAAGUUUCCAACUAAGUAUAAGUAUCAAGUUUUCUUUGUGCUGUUUUCUGCAAAUAUUAAAGGAUGACCUGGAUUGUCCUAGAACUUUGUUCCAACAGAUUACAUGUGUUCAUAAUGAAUAAAUUGCUCAGAUA